CACUGAACUUGCCUGCAAUCCAUGCUCUGAAUUCUCCAUCUGCAUCUCUGUGCCUCCUUUUCUGCUAGGGACCAUUGCUAGAGAGCUACUGUGAGCCUCUGGUGAUGUCACAAUAUUCAGACAGAAUUCUCACACUGGUUCCUUCUCAUCUGGAGAUGGCUGUAGUGGGCAGGCUGUUUUGGCUCUGCUUCUACAGACCUAUGCAGCAGGUUUUGUAUUGGGUUCAACCUACAGGCCAAUAGAUGACAUUUGCAGGUGAAGAGCUGGAUAGUGGGGUUCCUGGUGUUCCGUGGAAGAGGCCGGACACAAUUGGGCAGAGCUGGAGCCUCUGGCUUGCCCAUGUGUAUCCCAAUGGUACUUCAGAUGCACACUGUAGUCUAUCUCCAGACCACAGUGUGGUUGAUUGAAAGCCUCAGGAAACCUUGUUUUCCAGAAGAAAAUAAACUUGAUGUUUUCUUUGGGCCUAUCAUUAUCAUCACUAUGAUUAUCAUGUACAGUUUGCUUGAAUUUACCACAAAAUUCAAUGCUUGCUUAAUAUUAAAA
rnacentral:lncRNA from 10 species